GGGGCUGUAGCUCAGCUGGGAGAGUACUUGCAUGGCAUGCAAGGGGUCGAGGGUUCGAAUCCCUCCAGCUCCACCA
rnacentral:tRNA from 2 species